rnacentral:rRNA from 1 species
UACGAAGGGUGCAAACGUUGUUCGGAUUUACUGGGCGUAAAGGGCGCGUAGGCGGCGCAACAAGUCACUUGUGAAAUCUCCGGGCUUAACUCGGAGCGGUCAAGUGAUACUGUUGUGCUAGAGUGCGGAAGGGGCUACUGGAAUUCUCGGUGUAGCGGUGAAAUGCGUAGAUAUCGAGAGGAACACCUGCGGCGAAGGCGGCUCUCUGGGACGGUACUGACGCUGAGACGCGAAAGCGUGGGGAGCGAACAGG